GCGGCAAGACGGAAAGACCCCGUGAACCUUUACUAUAGCUUGACACUGAACAUUGAGCCUUGAUGUGUAGGAUAGGUGGGAGGCUUAGAAGUGUGGACGCCAGUCUGCAUGGAGCCGACCUUGAAAUACCACCCUUUAAUGUUUGAUGUUCUAACGUUGACCCGUAAUCCGGGUUGCGGACAGUGUCUGGUGGGUAGUUUGACUGGGGCGGUCUCCUCCUAAAGAGUAACGGAGGAGCACGAAGGUUGGCUAAUCCUGGUCGGACAUCAGGAGGUUAGUGCAAUGGCAUAAGCCAGCUUGACUGCGAGCGUGACGGCGCGAGCAGGUGCGAAAGCAGGUCAUAGUGAUCCGGUGGUUCUGAAUGGAAGGGCCAUCGCUCAACGGAUAAAAGGUACUCCGGGGAUAACAGGCUGAUACCGCCCAAGAGUUCAUAUCGACGGCGGUGUUUGGCACCUCGAUGUCGGCUCAUCACAUCCUGGGGCUGAAGUAGGUCCCAAGGGUAUGGCUGUUCGCCAUUUAAAGUGGUACGCGAGCUGGGUUUAGAACGUCGUGAGACAGUUCGGUCCCUAUCUGCCGUGGGCGCUGGAGAACUGAGGGGGGCUGCUCCUAGUACGAGAGGACCGGAGUGGACGCAUCACUGGUGUUCGGGUUGUCAUGCCAAUGGCACUGCCCGGUAGCUAAAUGCGGAAGAGAUAAGUGCUGAAAGCAUCUAAGCACGAAACUUGCCCCGAGAUGAGUUCUCCCUGACCCUUUAAGGGUCCUGAAGGAACGUUGAAGACGACGACGUUG
rnacentral:rRNA from 1 species